rnacentral:rRNA from 1 species
GACGAACGCUGGCGGCGUGCCUAACACAUGCAAGUCGAACGGAGAUUGCAGCAAUGCAAUCUUAGUGGCGAACGGGUGAGUAACGCGUAGACAACCUGCCUUUUAGAUGGGGACAACACUGGGAAACUAGUGCUAAUACCGAAUGUUGUAUUGAAGCUGCAUGGUUUUGAUACUAAAGAUGGCCUCUAUUUAUAAGCUAUCGCUAAAAGAUGGGUCUGCGUCUGAUUAGCUAGUUGGUGAGGUAACGGCUCACCAAGGCGACGAUCAGUAGCCGGUCUGAGAGGAUGCACGGCCACACUGGGACUGAGACACGGCCCAGACUCCUACGGGAGGCAGCAGUGGGGAAUCUUCCGCAAUGGACGAAAGUCUGACGGAGCAACGCCGCGUGAGUGAAGAAGGUUUUCGGAUCGUAAAGCUCUGUUUUCAGGGACGAAUGUGCAGACUGUGAAUAAUGGUUUGUAAUGACGGUACCUGAGUAGAAAGCCACGGCUAACUACGUGCCAGCCGCCGCAGUAAAAC